CUUCUUACCUGGCAGGGGAGACACCAUGAUCAAGAAGGUGGUUCACCGAGGGCGAGGCUCGGCCAUUGCACUCUGCUCGUGCUGACCCCUGUGAAUUCCCCAAAUGUGGGAAUCUCGACUGCAUAAUUUAUGGUAGCGGGGGACUGCGUUCGCGAGUUUUUGUU